UACAGAGGUCCCAACCGUUGUUCGGAUUCAUUGGGCGUAAAGGGUGCGUAGGCGGCGGGGCAAGUCAGGUGUGAAAUCUCGGGGCUCAACCCCGAAACUGCACUUGAUACUGCCUUGCUGGAGUACUGGAGAGGAGACUGGAAUUUACGGUGUAGCAGUGAAAUGCGUAGAUAUCGUAAGGAAGACCAGUGGCGAAGGCGAGUCUCUGGACAGUUACUGACGCUGAGGCACGAAGGCCAGGGGAGCAAACGGG
rnacentral:rRNA from 1 species